rnacentral:rRNA from 1 species
CUCUUUCUCGAUUCAGUGGAUGGUGGUGCAUGGCCGUUCUUAGUUGGUGGAGUGAUCUGUCUGGUUAAUUCCGAUAACGAACGAGACUCUCCCCUGCUAACUAGUCGGUUGGAUCUUGAUCAGUGGGUUGAGUGCCGAGUAACUCUCGCUGUGCGUGUUGUGCGUCGCGUUCCUCACGGUUCGUUGCGUGCUCAUGUGUGGCGUUGGAUGCCUUGGAUCACACUGCACCCCAAGUCCGCCGCUUUGCUAUAACUCUUCUUAGAGGGAUUCACGGCACUGAAGCCGUAAGAGACUGAGAGCAAUAACAGGUCUGUGAUGCCCUUAGAUGCUCUGGGCCGCACGCGCGCUACAAUGCCGGGCACAGCAGGUGUUUCUCCUGCUCCGACAGGAGCGGGUAACCCUCUGAAAGCCAGUGUUCUUGCAAGUGCUUCCUCCCUCGUGGAGUUGCACAGAGGCGUGCUUGGGCCUGGGACUUGCAAUUCUUUCCCACCAACGAGGAAUGCCUAGUAGCGGCGGGUCACUGAGCCCGCUGUGACUCAGUCCCUGCCCUUUGUACACACCGCCCGUCGCUACUACCGAUUGGGUGUACCAGUGAGAGCCUUGGACUGGCGUCCGUUGUUGCUCGCAAGAGUGACAAGCGGGUCCGACGGAAAGAGGUCCGAA